CCCAGUGAGGAUGGCUUUACUCCUCGCAGCUGCCCGUGUGAUUGAGUUUGGGCCAACGGGAAUGUUGUGGGACGUUCCUUCCAGGAAGGCACCUUGGAACAAGGGCAGAUAAUGGGAUGAGAUGACAGCAUGGCGGGAGCACCUGCUCAGCUCGACACCCACUGUGGGGAGAUGUGGGCAGCCUGACUCCUGUGAAUAUGCUGCAAACCAGCACUAUACAAGUAGUCUCCUGAUUUUCAAUGUCAUCAACUGCCUUUUUGAGCUUAAGAAAUUAAAACAAAAACUAAGAUGCUACACUGAUCAGACAGGACACAGCCAUGGAUCUCACCCAGGGAGGCAGAAUACACCAACACUCUGCAGAGUGCUAUGUGCCACUUUCUUCCUACUAUACAGGAGGAGAUGCUGAGGGUCCAUCCACUGUUCAGCAUAGUCCUGCUUUCAUUGGAACAAGUAGUCUUAGGUCACUGCCUUCUGUGUGAUCUCCAAGCCUCAGCUCUUCCCUACUGGCAUCCAGGGAGAGGAACAACGUUAAGAAUCUUGACAAAAACUGGGAAAAGGAUUCAGCCUGGAGACAGCAUUGCACUACAGGUAUAAGAACUCCCAUUCCAGUACGUUUACAUCCGAGAGGUUUGGGGCACUUGCCAAAAUGCUAAAAUAACUUAAUCUGUAGCUUCCAUUCUAGAUUAAUGAACAUGAUCGGUAAGUGAUCUACAAGGACAUCUUCAUAGGCCAGGAAAUAUAGUUACACCAGGAAAGGUGGCUUGCAACUCAGGGAAGGCCAACAAUGGACCCUUCAUCCUUAAAAGAAAACUGGAGAUGCCCAGACAAACUGGCAAGGAACAUUAAAUAGUCCAUGGCCGAGAGACAAGGAGUGUCGCUGCUGCCGCAGCACUAGUGCCACUUGGAAAUGAUGCACCCUUCAGGGACAGCCACAGAGUAAUUAUCUUGGGAUUCCACUUUUUGAGAAAUAAUAACUUCAGGAAAUGAUCUCAAUACAGUCAGGGAGGUACAGUUUAUAUAAAAAUACUCACAGGGCUAAAAAAAAUUCAUAAAUAAACAUAGUGAGGUAAGUUGUAAAGCCUGAACUCCAACAUCUAUUUCUUCAGAAAAUAUUCUAGCACUAUCUGAGCAAUGCUAAGUAGUUUGUGUGUAAGAUGUCAAUACAUGAAGAUGUGUGUGUAUGGAAUGGCAUUCACUGCUCAGGCAGAUCCAACUACCUAUGAAACACAGCCAUGUCCGACAGUCCCUGAAGCAGAGCAUGCUGCCUGCCUACAGCUACCCACGCAAUGCAGAGGACAGCCAGCUUGCCAGCUCUCCACAGGGAGGAAGAAACGAGGACAAUGCACAAGCUCAGUGCCUAGCUUCUGGAACCGAAUGAAGAGUCAGUAAAAGUAGCUGGUGCUGUUGCCACGGCCGAUUUUACAUCUCCGUAACCAGGCAAGGAGCCUGCCUGAGUCAAGAAGUCUCAUUUAACAUUCUCAAGUGUGGGAGGGAGGGAGGCAAGAACUGUCACACGGUUUUAGCUGCCACCCCUGCCUGCCCUGCCUGUCUGGUGUGGGAUCCACCACACAAGGGAGAAGCAGCAGGACACGUGGAAGGGCUGAGAAGCAAGUGGCAUGUCUACACUCCCCUGCUUGGAGGUGAGAAGGUCAGAAGCUUUUACUGCAGAGUCUAGGGAAUACCAAUAACAGUUCAGAAUGCCACUCCUCUUCAGAGAUGCUGCGAGGACCCUGUUUCUGGAGACCAGAUGUCCAAAAUCAAGGAGUUGGCAUGGCUGUACCCACUGCAGGCUUCUUCAAGGAAGGAUCCUUUUACUUCUUUUAGCUUCAGGUGGCUGCUGGUAUCCCUUGGUUUAUGCCCACAUCAUUCUAAUCUUUGGUCUUCAUAAGGACUUCCUAUGUCUAUGUCUCUUCUUCUGUCUCUUUUAAGGAUGUUUUUCACUGAUUCAGGGGUCAUCCAGAAAAUCCAGAAUAUCUUGUA